AAUCUCCUUUCCCUUGCUGUUCUUGACAGCGAUUGGAUAGUUCAUGCUAUCCUUACUUCUUGAAGGGCUUUCUUUAGCUAUUUCAAUACCUUUUACCUCAAAAUCUUUCAAGAUAGAGUCACCUGCUUCUUGGAAAUCCUGGGCAAAUGACAAAGCUACCUGUUGGUAGUUCACAAUGCCAGUGUAUGGACAACCAAUAGCCAUUAGACCCCUGCAAUACGGCUUCUUCUUUUUUAUAUCCUCCUGCUGGAUCAGCCUCAGGCGUUGGACUCCAUUCUGCAGGCCUCUCUCAUACAAGGCCUGAAGUCUGGGAAUUUCUUCUUGUUCAACAGCUACUAUUAGCUUGCCACAUUACCUGUAGGGAAUUCCCUUGAGGUUGCAGUACUCAUAGAUGAGGGCUGCGCCUUCUACACACAAUGUAGCUUUCAGAGAUUCUGGUUUAUAGUAAAUCCCACUGUGUAUGAUGCCGCUGUUGUGUCCAGUCUGGUGAAGAGCUAAAUCUUUCUCCUUUUCCACCACACCAAUCGAAAGUCCGGGAUGUUUCAGGAUGAGCGUUCUGGCAGAGGCAAGGCCCACAAUUCCACCUCCAAUGAUGACUAUAUCAAAAGAGCUGGUGCUGGAGCUCCUGCGGCCACCACCGCACAGUAGCCCAGGCACCCCAGACCCCGGCAUAGUCUCACAAGAGACAGCUAUAUCAGGGUCCUUUCAGCAAAAUCUUGCUAGUGUAUGCAAUGGUGUCAGCGUUUGGAGGCUGAUUAUGGGAUGCAUCUAACUCAGAGCAUCAGGCUUGGCAGCAAGCAUCCUGGGCACGGAGCCAUCUCACCAGACCAUGUGUAGACAGUUCUGGCUGUCAGAACUCUGAGAACUACCAACCUGUUCAAGGAUGCCACCUAAUGUGGCUUGGAACACAGCACUAUCCUCUGCCCCCAGCAGACACUCAGUAUGAAUCAACAAUGCCAAUGCUGACACAAACGGAAAGAUUUGAGAGGUGACUUGACCUUCUGCUUACCUCUGGCAUCUUAUUGUGAAGGUGAACUCAGUGGUAUUCUUCAGAAGGUGGUGGAUAUCGUCGUCGUCGUCAUCGUCAUCAUCAUCAUCAUCACACAUGUCUGUGCAGGUGUCUGAAGUGGCCAGAAGAGGGCACUGGAUCCCUUGGAGUGGAGUUGUGAGGUGCAGGAUGAGCAUGCAUGGACCCAAACUCAGAUCUUCCAGAGCAGCCUCACUCACUCUUCAACCCCUGAAAUAACGUUUAU
rnacentral:lncRNA from 1 species